rnacentral:lncRNA from 1 species
UUGUGUUGAUGCUUGAAUAGGUGGUAAUUUUGUUUUACAAGUUCCAAGUUUUAUUUUAAUGUGCAUUUAAAUUGUUAGUUCAACAUUUCAAUAUAAGAGUUUUGUCAUUUAUUUCUUGCAUGUUAAUUAGUACACAUCUUGUUUUAGGACUGUUCAAUUUACUAUUUUCGUUCACUUUAAUGCCUUCAAUUAUGUUCAGUCGCGUUUAAUUAUGUUCGGUUGUGUUUAAUUUUAAUUUAAUUAUUUUCAUUCACAAAAACACUUUUAAGCCCCCCCCCCCACUUCGUGUUAGACCUAAUUCUUGAACCGCAGUUGGUCCUUGAGAAACGACCUAGGAGUCACUUCCUAGUCUAUACUGCAAUCUUUUAUGCACAUUAAAUUUUGCAUGGGGUGCGACACCCAUAAAAAAUUUUGGCACCGUUGCCGUGGACCAACGGUUCGGUUUUAGGUCUUUUGUUGUGUUGUGUUUUGUCUUGUGUUGUGAGUGUGAUGUUCUGUUUUGUGUGUUCGUCAUUGUGUGUUGCAUUUAGGUAGCUUUAGUUGCAUAUUUUCAUUGCAUUCUUCUUUUCCUCCUUCUUUCCCAUGUCUACCUAUUUUGGCUUUGUGGAUACUGUUUCUUCUCCCUGUGCCUAUGAUUAUGAUUCUCCUGUUGAUUUCUAUGUUGAGAACAAUAUGACUCAUCCUCCCAUUCUUG